AGCUGCCGAGUGAGAAGUCUGACUAUCCGGAGAUGGCGGUGAGUAUAGAGAAUUUCUGCUAGGUCUCCUGUGUUUCAGCCAUCCCAGCCCAGGCACCACGACACAUUAUCAAAGGACUAUCUUGGACCUUCUCAUCCCAGCAAACAUCCAAUGGAGAAGAAUGAAGACUCCAGGCAUAUGAUCCCACUCUAGCCAUCCCAGGAGCCCCCAGCUAUCCAAACAACUACAGCUGUGGCCAAAAACAUCGUGUAUCAGGGACAAACUCUCUGCUUAUGGCUGCUCUAAUCCUUGACCUACAGAAUCAUGAAAUUUGUGGAUACGGUCAUGAUCUUGAUUUUGGCGAUGGUUUCACAGUAACUCAUGCUUUCAAAAUAUCAGGAAGCAAAUGAGAAAAGGAAAAAAAGACAUUCAUUGUAUAUGCUGUGAAGUAAUCCUGCCAAAGGACACUUUGGGCUCCGCAUGUACUGCUUCACCAAGUGCCAACAUAUACGUCUCCAGUGACUGCUGAUGGCUGAGUCUCCUUAUGUUAGUAAAUUUCUAAACAUUUUUCUUAGUACAUGGAGUAACGUGUUAUGUUGAUCAAUGUUUGAUGACACUUAAAUGUAACUACAAUGCAGUAAUUCGAAGGUAAGAAAAAGUUGCCAUGACUCUCAUUUCUUUGAAAUUGUGUACAAUGAAAGGCUUCUCAGCAUGAUACCCCAACUAAAAUUUAGGCGUAUGACAGCACUUAUAAGUAAAUCCAUUUUAUUUGAGUAAAUAUUGAGUU
rnacentral:lncRNA from 10 species